rnacentral:rRNA from 1 species
UACGAAGGGGGCUAGCGUUGCUCGGAAUCACUGGGCGUAAAGGGUGCGUAGGCGGGUCUUUAGGUCAGGGGUGAAAUCCUGGAGCUCAACUCCAGAACUGCCUUUGAUACUGAGGAUCUUGAGUUCGGGAGGAGGUGAGUGGAACUGCGAGUGUAGAGGUGAAAUUCGUAGAUAUUCGCAAGAACACCAGUGGCGAAGGCGGCUCACUGGCCCGAUACUGACGCUGAGGCACGAAAGCGUGGGGAGCAACAGG